rnacentral:rRNA from 1 species
GACGAACGCUGGCGGCGUGCUUAACACAUGCAAGUCGAACGGAAAGGCCCUGCUUUUGUGGGGUGCUCGAGUGGCGAACGGGUGAGUAACACGUGAGUAACCUGCCCUUGACUUUGGGAUAACUUCAGGAAACUGGGGCUAAUACCGGAUAGGAGCUCCUGCUGCAUGGUGGGGGUUGGAAAGUUUCGGCGGUUGGGGAUGGACUCGCGGCUUAUCAGCUUGUUGGUGGGGUAGUGGCUUACCAAGGCUUUGACGGGUAGCCGGCCUGAGAGGGUGACCGGCCACAUUGGGACGGAGAUACGACCCAGACUCCUACGGGAGGCAGCAGUGGGGAAUAGUGCACAAUGGGCGGAAGCCUGAUGCAGCAACGCCGCGUGCGGGAUGACGGCCUUCGGGUUGUAAACCGCUUUCGCCUGUGACGAAGCGUGAGUGACGGUAAUGGGUAAAGAAGCUCCGGCUAACUACGUG